rnacentral:misc_RNA from 1 species
UUUUGGUUAGCAUUUAAUUAUCACUUGAAAAAGCUACGGAUAUGACUCCUGUAGUCCUGUGGGCAUCUUUAUAUAGGACCUUUGAUUUUGUUGGUCGGUUCUUGUUCUCAAUGAAACAAGAUUUGUGUGAUCAUACAAGAUUCUAGAAGCUAUUGAUGUUGGCCUAUUUGUUUUUGUUUCUGUUUUAUUUUAAAACCAGUGCCC